GCCCUUCUAUAUGGAUCUUUAUUCUAUGGCCCGGCUGUAUAGCCGGGAUGAAUCGUGUCACGAAAAUGUUUUCCUGACCAUAAAAGAAAUCGUUUGAAUGAACUUUAUACUGUUGUUGGAAUCAAAAUAAGCUAAUUCAGCUUUGAAAUGUAUGGUGGCCGAGCGUUGCCACUCGUUUUUUUUUGUACAUUUUACAUUAUUUUAAAGAUUUUUUUACUUUUUAUUUUUUUAAUUAAAAUGAAAAAUAAAAAUAAAUUAAAAUGAAAUACAAAAUAAAUUAAAAUGAAAUACAAAAUAAAUUAAAAUGAAAUGCAAAAUAAUUUACAAUUAAAAUUAAAGUAAAAGUGAAUUUCACCAUGGCCGAGGGCUGCCACUACCAAAAUAUUCUUUAUAAUUUUUUUUAAUUAAAGUGAAAAAUAAAAAUAAAUUAAAAUGAAAAAUAAAAAUAAAUUAAAAUGAAAAAUAAAAGUAAAUUAAAAUGAAAUACAAAAUACUGAUUUACAAUUAAAAUUACAAAGUAAAAGUGAAUUUCACCAUGGCCGAGGGCUGCCACUACCAUAAUGCACAGCGACCCGAGAGCUGACUCAUUAAAAUUCCUUUGUUGUGACAAAAUGGCGGGCAAUUCUGAUAUAUAU